CUGAGUAAGGGCGUGCGGUGGAUGCCUUGACUCUAAAGGGCGAUGAAGGACGCGGCUUAGCUGCGAUACGCUUCGGG
rnacentral:rRNA from 1 species